CAUGUACUCCCUCCGUUCGGAAUUACUUGUCGUGAGAAUGGAUGUAUCUAGAACUAAAAUAGGUCUAGAUACAUCCAUUUCCCCAACAAGUAUUUCCGGACAGAAGGAGUACUAA
rfam:Triticum aestivum genome assembly, contig: Triticum_aestivum_CS42_TGACv1_scaffold_163023_2DL